ACACGCAUGACACACUGCAUAUCAAUAAGCGGAGGAAAAGAAACUAACAAGGAUUCCCUUAGUAACGGCGAGUGAAGCGGGAAGAGCUCAAAUUUGAAAUCUUCAAGGUUCUACCUUGACGAAUUGUAGUUUAUAGAAGUGUUUUCUGUUAGUAGAGUGGCAAAAGUUCUUUGGAAUAGGACAUCAUAGAGGGUGAGAAUCCCGUAUUUGGUCAUUCUUCCUAGCGUUGUGAUACACUUUCAACGAGUCGGAUUGUUUGGGAAUGCAGUCCAAAAUGGGUGGUAAAUUUCAUCUAAAGCUAAAUAUUGGCGAGAGACCGAUAGCGAACAAGUACCGUGAGGGAAAGAUGAAAAGAACUUUGAAAAGAGAGUUAAACAGUACGUGAAAUUGUCAAAAGGGAAGCGUUUGACACCAGUGUUGUUUUUCCGAAAAUCAAUUACGAAUGUUUUGUUUUUAGAGAGUUAUGACUUCAUCGGCUUGCUUCUUUCUUUACGAAACUUUCUUAAUGCACUUUUCGGUUAACAAGUCAACAUCAAUUUCUUUUGUUGUAAAAGGGUAUGAGGAAGGUGGCUUUCUUUUCGGAGAAAGUGUUUAUAGCCUUGUACCUCUGCAAUCGGAGAGAUUGAGGUCUGCAGCGUAGAUCCUUCGGGGUUAGAUACAUUUGUGCUAAGUUAUAGCUUUUCAUAGACAACUUGUUGACUAUGUUAAGUCCUUGUAGCUUACUCGCUUAUGCUAUUUUACCUACGCUUAGGAUGUUGAGCGCAUGUCUCUCUCU
rnacentral:rRNA from 1 species